GGGGAGUCGCUCUGCUUUGGACUGGAGCAAAACGGGUCGGGGGCUGGGGGAGGAAAGGAAGAUGAAGUCCAGGGGAGGGGCCCACAAACCCCGGCAGCCCAGGCUUUUCCCCUCAAAAGCGAGAGAGGAAAAUGCAUUACCUGAAACCACCAAGCACUCUAAGAAAGAAGUAAUACGAACUGCCCGGAGUUCUUAUUAAACAGCUGUGAAAAGUGGAUCCAGUCCCCGAGUUUUAGGGCACGUAAAGGCCUACUGGAGAAAAUACUGAAGUGUAGGAACCGAUCUUUCCAUUUAUGGCGUGUUCUUCAGUUUCUUUGGUUAGGGGCUCCAAUGGAAGCUGAGGCCCCGUGUUUCCUGAUGCCCCAGGGGCCACAGCAAGUUGCAUGGAAGCCACGUGAGGUGAACUCCAACCUGUUGACCAGAGGGGUAGCAAAUGAGUGACCAUACAGGAUCUGGAAGAAUCUGUGGCCACUUUGGGGGUCAUUUGUACCCUCUCCAGAGGGUAAGAUCAGAAAACAGUUUAGCAACCACUGAGCCCAGCACUGCUUGGAUUGUGUUAAAUGAGUGGAAGAGUCUUAAUUUCCUAGACUUGCAGGAUGGGGCACUGGCUAGUCCCGUUGUGUGUUUGCUCCGGCUGCCCCCAACAAAGUUCCAUGGCCUGGGAGGCCUGUAGGGGCUCCCAGAAGUUAAUUUUCUCACAAUUCUGGAGACUGGAAGUUUUAGAUCAAGAGGUGGGCAGGGUUGGUUUCU